UGAACGCUGGCGGCGUGCUUAACACAUGCAAGUCGAACGAUGACCCGGUGCUUGCACCGGUGAUUAGUGGCGAACGGGUGAGUAACACGUGAGUAACCUGCCCUUAACUCUGGGAUAAGCCUGGUAAACUGGGUCUAAUACCGGAUAUGACUCCUCAUCGCAUGGUGGGGGGUGGAAAGCUUUAUUGUGGUUUUGGAUGGACUCGCGGCCUAUCAGCUUGUUGGUGAGGUAAUGGCUCACCAAGGCGACGACGGGUAGCCGGCCUGAGAGGGUGACCGGCCACACUGGGACUGAGACACGGCCCAGACUCCUACGGGAGGCAGCAGUGGGGAAUAUUGCACAAUGGGCGCAAGCCUGAUGCAGCGACGCCGCGUGAGGGAUGACGGCCUUCGGGUUGUAAACCUCUUUCAGUAGGGAAGAAGCGAAAGUGACGGUACCUGCAGAAGAAGCGCCGGCUAACUACGUGCCAGCAGCCGCGGUAAUACGUAGGGCGCAAGCGUUAUCCGGAAUUAUUGGGCGUAAAGAGCUCGUAGGCGGUUUGUCGCGUCUGCCGUGAAAGUCCGGGGCUCAACUCCGGAUCUGCGGUGGGUACGGGCAGACUAGAGUGAUGUAGGGGAGACUGGAAUUCCUGGUGUAGCGGUGAAAUGCGCAGAUAUCAGGAGGAACACCGAUGGCGAAGGCAGGUCUCUGGGCAUUAACUGACGCUGAGGAG
rnacentral:rRNA from 1 species